rnacentral:tRNA from 1 species
GGCCCGUUAGUCUAGGGGUCCAGGACGUCUCCCUUUCACGGAGAAGACCAGGGGUUCAAAUCCCCUACGGGCUA